CCUACGGGUGGCAGCAGUGAGGAAUAUUGGUCAAUGGGCGUAAGCCUGAACCAGCCAAGUAGCGUGAGGGAUGAAGGUUCUAUGGAUCGUAAACCUCUUUUAUAAGGGAAUAAAGUGCGGGACGUGUCCCGUUUUGUAUGUACCUUAUGAAUAAGGAUCGGCUAACUCCGUGCCAGCAGCCGCGGUAAUACGGAGGAUCCGAGCGUUGUCCGGGUUUAUUGGGGUUAAAGGGUGCGUAGGUGGCCUUUAAGUCAGCGGUGAAAGUGUGUGGCUCAACCGUAGAAUUGCCGUUGAAACUGGGAGGCUUGAGUAUGUUAGAGGCGGGCGGAAUGCGUGGUGUAGCGGUGAAAUGCUUAGAUAUCACGCAGAACCCCGAUUGCGAAGGCAGCCUGC
rnacentral:rRNA from 1 species